UACGUAGGGCGCAAGCGUUAUCCGGAAUUAUUGGGCGUAAAGAGCUCGUAGGCGGUUUGUCGCGUCUGCCGUGAAAGUCCGGGGCUCAACUCCGGAUCUGCGGUGGGUACGGGCAGACUAGAGUGAUGUAGGGGAGACUGGAAUUCCUGGUGUAGCGGUGAAAUGCGCAGAUAUCAGGAGGAACACCGAUGGUGAAGGCAGGUCUCUGGGCAUUAACUGACGCUGAGGAGCGAAAGCAUGGGGAGCGAACAGG
rnacentral:rRNA from 1 species